AGCGAAUCCUACUAUCAGUAUGGAAUGGCUCAUGAAUAUUAAUCAAGGUAAGUGACUGGACGCUCACGGAAGGUUGCCAGGUUGCGUCAUCAAUGUCUCAUUAAUAUUCAUAAGAUGGGGCUUCGCCAUAGUGGGAAUCGAAAAUUCACUGUCAGCUCGGCCUGUGAUGAAUUGAAUAGGGAAGAAGGAGGAGGAGGAGGAGAAUCCAAUCCGGUUUGAGCAGGUUUUUGUUUCGGACGAGCGUUAACGUGUUCCUAUACUGUGUGAAUCCUUAACCGAGCUCAACACACAGUGUCGACUGGUUUUCAGCGUUAAAUCAGUGCAUCUUGCUUUUGUAACCGCUUUGAUUUUUGCGUGUUGUACAAACCCACAGCCAUGCCUAAAAGGAGCAAAGCGAACAAUGAUACUGAAGUCACUGAGGUAAGCAGAUCUCACUCCUUAUUGCAUAAAAAUAAAAUAAAUAUUUUAUUGCAUCAAAAUAAGGUACAUGUUUUAAACUUGUUAUUACUUUGCAGCCUAAAAGAAGGUCGGAGAGGUUGGUAAACGUGAGUAUUCAUGUUUUACUUUUAUAUAAAGUUCUCAUUCAUUCAACAGAUAUGGCAAUUAUUUAUAUUCUUUAUUUACUAAUUGAUGUUUUAUAACGUUUUCCUUGUUAGAAACCUGCACCCCAAAAGGCAGCGCCUAAGCCAAAGAAGGUGGCUGCCAAGCCUAAGAAAACAAAGGAACCCAAGGAGCCCAAGGAGGAGGAGAAGAAAGAGGAGGUGCCCGCAGAAAACGGAGAAACAAAAGCUGACGGAGAGGCAUCGGCAACAGAAGACGCCGACAAGAAGGGAGAAGACGGGGAAUAACUUUGCUGAGGUCUCAUCUUUUACCAGCACUCCCUGUACCUCUUUUCUUGUACAGUUCAGGGGAAUAUUUUUAUCUACUAUUUUCUAAAGGCAGGUUUUUUAGUAGUUUGAUUGUAGAGACACAUUUUUUAUGGAAGAAAAUAAACAUUUUGAAAGUGAUCUCAUCAUAUUCAUCGUUUUUACAUUGGGCAGAAAAAACUACCGUCAUCGUAAAUGUCGACAGGCUCUCUGCUCUCGCUUUCAAAGUGCGAGGUAGAGGGGAAGGUUGCAGGCAUGUCGUUUACACAGACAGCUGGACAUCUUACCGAGCUUGUCCGAAUGACUAACAUUCCAUUGGCUCUAUGAGGGAUUUUGUUUUUUUGUGUGUGUGUGUAACCUGUAAUGUGUGUUUGGGGAGGGAGGGAGGGGUGGGCAAAUAUCUCAUUGUUUAUAAGGCGAAAGAUUACUUGUAGAACGUUUGUAAGCUGUGUUCCAUAUGUUAACUGCAGUUCUCCAUAAUCAUUUCUGCUAAAUAAACAUAUUCUCUAGUACUGGAGUUCAUGUCAGGCCUGUGAUUCGUGUGUAUUGAUUUUGUCUCUUCUGUGAUAGUACCACAAUACAUUUGUAAAACUGCUGUGAAAAAGUUUUUGGGGGCUUUAAGUCCAGUUUGUGUUAUGGUACCAAUGGCAGACGUGGGAUGAAUAUCUCCACAAAGCCAGCAAUUCUUUAAUAUCCAAACACAUUAUUAAAAUGGAAAAUUUGAGACGAAUGAGUCAUUAUGUGUAAAAUCUUUUUAGUUGUAAAGCGUUCUGACCAGCAGUAGCAGUAUUUUUGUGGGACUUCGAUAUCAAGUAUAAAUGUACAGUUUCUUUUGAUCAUUGUUUAUAGAUGUAUCUCUGUGUGUUAUGGUUCAAGACAAUAAAAAAUCAGUUGUGAUACCCUGUUCUCCCUUUGAUUUUGAAGUUACAUUCAUUACUGUAGGUG
rnacentral:lncRNA from 1 species